rnacentral:rRNA from 1 species
GAUGAACGCUGGCGGCGUGCCUAAUACAUGCAAGUCGAGCGAACAGACGAGGAGCUUGUUCCCUUGAGGUUAGCGGCGGACGGGUGAGUAACGCGUGGAUAACCUACCUCUAAGUCGGGGAUAACAUCGGGAAACCAGUGCUAAUACCGCAUAAUAUAUUUAACCGCAUGGUUCAAUAGUGAAAGACGCUUUUGCUGCUAUAAAUAGCCGGUUCCGGAUCGCAUUAGCUAGUUGGUAAGGUAACGGCUUACCAAGGCGACGAUGCGUAGCCGACCGGAGAGGGUGAUCGGCCACACUGGAACUGAGACACGGUCCAGACUCCUACGGGAGGCAGCAGUGGGGAAUAUUCGGCAAAGGGCGAAAGCCUGACGGAGCAAGGCCGCGUGGGUGAUGAAGGUCUUCGGAUCGUAAAGCUCUGUUGUUGGGAAAGAACAGAUGUAGAAGUAAAUACGCACGUCUUGACGGUACCUAAACAGAAAGCAACGGCUAACUACGUG